rnacentral:rRNA from 1 species
CCGGAAUAGAGAUAAGCUGCUCUCUCCAUUCUCCUUUCCAUCUGCCAUUUCCAACCAAUAUGGCUAAGCUUGUGCUUCUCAUCCGAGGAGCUGCGCUGCUGCUUUGUCUAUCGAUCUCCCAAACAGCUUCCACUUCCCAUGUUCAAGCGAGUGUGUCAGGAGCCUGCAUCAGCAGCGAGCGAGAUGCGCUUCUGUCCUUCAAGGCAAGCCUCCUCGACCCUGCUGGCCAUCUCUCGUCAUGGCAGGGUGAGGAUUGUUGCCAAUGGAAGGGAGUCCGGUGCAGCAACAGAACUGGCCAUCUCAUCAAGCUCAACCUCCGCAACAUCGACAUGUACGGCAUGGGCUACUACAUGUACGCCACGGGCUACUAUAUGUAUGAGUACGGCUACUACAACUACAAGUACAACUACCCGAACAGGAGCAGAUCAUUGAGCUUGUCGGCAGGCAAGAUGAGCUCUUCUUUGGCUACUUUACAACACCUGAGGUAUCUCGAUCUGAGCUGCAAUGACUUCAACGGCACAAGCAUCCCCAUGUUCUUGACUUCUCUCAAGAACCUAAGGUAUCUCAACCUCUCGUAUGCAGGAUUCAGUGGGAGAAUACCUUCCCAACUUGGCAAUCUGUCAAAGUUGCAAUAUCUUGAUCUCAGUUGGAAUUAUUAUUAUCAUUAUGGGAGGAAUAGGUCUUACACAAUGGAUCUUGCAUGGUUGCCACGUCUUUCUUUGUUGAGUCAUCUUGAGAUGAGCUAUGUGGAUCUUAGCUCUGUGAGGGAUUGGUUUGAGAUGGUUAACAUGCUUCCUUCUCUUAAAGUGCUUCGCUUGUCCGACUGUGGACUCAAUGGUACCGUGUCUGCUAGUAUAUCAAUUUCCAACCUCACACAUCUCGAGGUCCUUGAUAUGUCCACUAACACCAUCAGAAUACCUUCCCAAUUUGGAAAUCUCUCAAAGUUGCAAUAUCUUGAUGUGAGUGGGAAUUAUUAUGCUGAUGUGGAUCUUGCAUGGUUGCCACGUCUAUCUUUGUUGAGAUAUCUUGACAUGAGUUUUGUGGAUCUUGGUUCUGCGAGGGAUUGGUUUCGGAGUGUUAAUAUGCUUCCUUCUCUUAAAGUGCUUCGCUUGUCCUUUUGUGGACUCAAUGGUACCAUGUCUGCAAGUAUAUCACUUUUCAACCUCACACACCUCAAAUUCCUUGAUAUGACUUAUAACACCUUCCACACUUCACUCAGGCAUGCGUGGUUUUGGAAUCUCACAGGCCUUAAAGAGCUUUACCUCUCAGAUUCCAGCUUGGAAGGGUCCAUUCCUAGUGAUUUGGCAAAUAUGGCGUCCCUUCAAGUCAUAGACUUUAGUUGGAACAAUCUUGUGGGUUUGAUACCAACGAAAAUAGAAAAUUUGUGCAAUUUGACGAGAAUGAGGUUUGAUGGUAACAACAUAGGUUCGAGCAUAGGGGAGUUCAUGGGGCGAUUGCCAAAGUGCUCACGGAAUACACUGCAAGAAUUGUCAGUGCGGGGUGGAAAUAUGACUGGGAAUCUUCCCAUUUGGAUAGGGAACAUGACCAAUCUUAGUGUUCUUGAAGCAUCUGAAAACAUGUUGACUGGCCCUCUGCCUGUAGGACUUGGAGCACUGGGUAAUUUGGAAAUGUUGGACCUCAGCUACAAUAAGUUCAGUGGUGUGAUGUUGAAAGAACAUUUUGCAAGCUUAGGCAAAUUAGAGUUUUUGUACCUCAACUCCAAUAAGUUCAGCGGUGUGCUAUUGAAAGAACAUUUUGCAAGUUUAGGCAACUUAAAGCUUUUGGAACUCAGCCACAAUAACUUCUAUAGUGUGAAAGACCAAUUUGCAAGGUUAGGCAACUUAAAGGUUUUGGAUCUCAGCUACAAUAACUUGAACAGUGUAAAAGUUCAAUUUGCAAGCUUAGGCACAUUAGAGCGUUUGGACCUUAGCCACAAUAGCUUGAGCGGUGUGCUAUUGAAAGAACAUUUUGCUGGUUUAGGCAACUUAAAGGUUUUGUUUCUUAGCUACAAUAACUUCAACAGUGUGAAAGAACAAUUUGCAAGCUUAGGCAAAUUAGAGCAUUUGGACCUUAGCCACAAUAACUUGAGCAGUGUGCUAUGAUACGUCUCCAACGUAUCUAUAAUUUUUGAUUGCUCCAUGCUACUUUAUCUACUGUUUUAGGCAAUAUUGGGAUUUAUUAUCCACUUUUAUAUUAGUUUUGGGACUAACCUAUUAACCGGAGGCCCAGCCCAGAUUUGCUGUUUUAUGCCUAUUUCAGUGUUUCGAGGAAAAGGAAUAUCAGACGGAGUCAAACGGAACGAAAUCAACUGGAGAAGUUAUUUUUGGAAGGAAAGCAACCCAGGGAACUUGGAGUGCACGUCAGGGGAGAGAUGGGCUGCCCACGAGGGUGGGAGGCGCGCCCCCUGCCUCGUGGGACCCCCGUAGUUCCACCGAGGUACCCCCUGCACCCAUAUAUACCUACGUACCCAAAAACUUCCAGAAUAGAACCUAGAUCGGGAGUUACGCCGCCGCAAGCCUCCAGAACCACGAAAAACCAAUCGGGACCCUGUUCCGGCACCCUGCCGGAGGGGAGAUCCUUCACUGGUGGCCAUCUUCAUCAUCCCGGCGUUAUCCAUGACGAGGAGGGAGUAGUUCACCCUCGGGGCUGAGGGUAUGUACUAGUAGCUAUGUGUUUGAUCUCUCUCUCUCUCUCUCGUGUUCUCUCUCGUGUUCCUCUAUGGCACGAUCUUGAUGUAUCCCGAGCUUUGCUAUUGUAGUUGGAUUUUAUGAUGUUUCUCCCUCUCUACUCUCUUGUGAUGAAUUGAGUUUCCCCUUUGAAGUUAUCUUAUCGGAUUGAGUCUUUUAUGAGAACACUUGAUGUAUGUCUUGGUGAUCAACUUGCGGGUUUCGUGACAUUGGGAACCUAUACAUAGGGGUUGGCACACGUUCUUGACUUUCCGGUAGUAGCUUUGAGGCACUCUUUCAAGUACUUUUAUGUUGGUUGGAUGAAUCUGAGAUUGUGUGAUGCAUAUCAUAUAAUCAUGCCCACGGAUACUUGAGGUGACAAUGGAGUAUCUAGGUGACAUUAGGGGUUUGGUUGAUUUGUGUCUUAAGGUGUUAUUCUAGUACGAACUCUUUUAUAGAUCGAUCAGAAAGGAUAACUUUGAGGUGGUUUCGCACCCUACCAUAAUCUCUAUGUUUGUUCUCCGCUAUUAGUGGAUUUGGAGUGACUCUUUGUUGCAUGUUAAGGGCUUGUUAUAUGAUCUAUCUAUGUUAUUAUUGUUGAGAGAACUUGCACUAGUGAAAGUAUGAACCCUAGACCUUGUUUCCUAACAUUGCAAUACCAUUUACGCUCACUUUUACCGCUCGCUACCUUGCUGUUUUUAUUAUUUCAGAUUACAAAAACCUAUAUCUAGUAUCUAUUUUGCACUUGUAUCACCAUCUCUUCGCCGAACUAGUGCACCUAUACAAUUUACCAUUGUAUAGGGUGUGUUGGGGACACAAGGGACUCUUUGUUAUUUGGUUGCAGGGUUGUUUGAGAGAGACCCUCUUCAUCCUACGCCUCCUACGGAUUGAUAAACCUUAGGUCAUCCACUUGAGAGAAAUUUGCUACUGUCCUACAAACAUGUGCACUUACAGGCCCAACAACGUCUACAAGAAGAAGGUUGUGUAGUAGACAUCAAGCUCUUUUCUGGCGCCGUUGCCGGGGAGGUUAGCGCUUGAAGGUAUAUCUUUAGAUCUUUCAACCGAAUCUUUUUGUUUCUUGUUUUAGCACUAGUUUAGUUUAUAAAAGAAAACUACAAAAAAAUGGAGUUAAGUUUGUCUCAUACGCUUCGUCUUUUUAAUAUCUUUCCUGAGUAUGAUGGAAAGGAAAAUUGUGCUCAAGUGCUAGAAGAAGAAUUACAUAGAAUGCUUGGCAUAAAAUAUGUGAAUGAUGAGCAUGAUUGCAAUGUUGUUAGUAUGAAUUCCUUGAAUAUCCAUGAUGCUAAUGAUAUGCAAAGCCACAAGCUUGGGGAAGCUAUGUUUGAUGAAUAUGAUAUUUUUAGCCCCCAAAGUUUUGAUGAGAAAAUUUACUAUGAUGAAAGCAUGCCUCCUAUCUAUGAUGAUUAUUGUGAUGACGCGUAUGCUUUAAAGAAUAAUUAUAACCAUGAAACUUGUCAUCUUGAUCUUAAUUUUCAAUCACAUGAUAGUUAUUUUGUUGAGUUUGCUCCCACUACUAUUCAUGAGAAGAAAUUUGCUUAUGUGGAGAGUAGUAAAUUUUCUAUACUUGUAGAUCAUGAAAAGAAUGCUUUAGGUGCUGGUUAUAUUGUUGAAUUAAUUCAUGAUGCUACUGAAAAUUAUUAUGAGAGAGGAACAUAUACUUGUAGGAAUUGCAAUAAUGUCAAGUUUCCUCUCUAUGUGCUUAAAUUCUUGAAGCUAUGCUUGUUGUGCCAUCCUAUGCUAGUUGAUUAUUGUUCCCAUAAGUUGUUUGCUCACAAAAUCCCUAUGCAUAUGAAGUGGGUUAGACUUAAAUAUGCUAGUCAUAUGCUUCAUGAUGCUCCCGUUAUGUUUCAAUUCUUAUCUUUUUUUGUGAGCAUCAUUGUCAUCAUCAUGCCUAGCUAAAAGGCAUUAAAAAAAGCGCUUGUUGGGAGACAACGCAAUAUUUAUCCUUACUGUUUUUGUGUGUCCACAUGAUUAUGCUACUGUAUUAAUCAUGUUCUAUAGCUUUUGUUUCAAUAAAGUGCCAAGUAGAACCUUUGGGAAGACUUGGGUGAAGUUUAUAUGAUCUUGCUGUGAAAAACAGAAACUUUAGCGCUCACGAGCUUAGCUGCCAUUUUUUUACUGGGAGUGCUUUUAGGUUGAUUCUUUUUGAAGAUGAUUAAUAGACAAAUUUCUCAGGUCCAGCAAUUUAUUUCAUAAUUUUUGGGGUUCCAGAAGUAUACGUUUGAUAUAGAUUACUACAGGCUGUUCUGUUUUUGACAGAUUCUGUUUUCUAUAUGUUGUUUGCUUAUUUUGAUGCAUCUAUGGCUAGUAUUAAGUGGUAUGAACCAUAGAGAUGUUAGAAUACAGUAGAUAUAACACCAAUAUGAAUUUAGAAUGAGUUCAUUACAGUAUCUAAGUGGUGGUUUUAUUUUCUUAUACUAACGGAGCUUGCGAGUUCUGUUUUGAGUUUUGUGUGGUUGAAGUUUUCAAGUUUUGGGUAAAUAUUCGAUGGAUUAUGGAAUAAGGAGUGGAAAGAGCCUAAGCUUGGGGAUGCCCAAGGCACCCCAAGGUAAUAUUUAAGGACAACCAAGAAACUAAGCUUGGGCAUGCCCCGGAAGGCAUCCCCUCUUUCGUCUUCGUUCAUCGGUAACUUUACUUGGAGCUAUAUUUUAUUCGCCACAUGAUAUGUGUUUUACUUGGAGCGUCAUUUUAUUUUGCUAGUUUUUGCUUUCUGUUAGUUAGAAUAAUGUUUUGCAUCUUUAGUUUCAAUAAAAAAACUCAAGGAUAGCCUUUGCCAUGCUUAUUUUGCUAGUUUGCAUGUUGCUGUUUGAAAACAGAAAGUUUACCUCUGUUGCAAAAAUUCCCUAGAAAAGUCAGAGAAAGGUAUAACGUUGAAUAUUUUUGUAUAUUAAGCUCUGAUAAAUUUAUUACAGUUGGAAUUUUAGUUCAUAAUUUUUGGAGUUAGGGAAGUAUGAUUACUCUUGCAUUCUUUACAGACUGUACUGUUUUGGCAGAUUGCUGUUAUGGUUGCAUUGUUUGCAUAUGUUUGCUUGUUUAAUGAUUCUAUUUGAGGAUAGGAGUAUUAAAUAUGCAGAGGAAUUUAGUAUGCAAUGUUGAAUAAUAAUUUAAGUGAUUUGUUAUAGUAGAAGAUGAUAAGGUUUUGCAUUGGUUUAUACUAACCUAUCUCACGAGUUCUUGUUGAGUUUGUUGUGAAUGAAGCUUUUGAUAAAAAGAAGAGAAACCAUGAUAUGAGAGGAAUUAAGGAGAUAAAAGCUUAAGAUUGGGGAUGCCCAAGGCACCCCAAGAUAAUAUUUCAAGAAGUCUCAAGCAUCUAAUCUUGGGGAUGCCCCGGUAGGCAUCCCACCUUUAUUCUUCAACAAUCAUCGGUUAGUAUCGGUUGAGCCUAAGUUUUUGCUUCUUCACAUGAGUUGUGCUAUCCUUGCAUUGUCAUUUAUUUUGUUUUGCUUGCUGUUUGAAUAAGAUACCAAGAUCUGAAAUUCUUUAAUGAGAGAUAGCCAUACACAAAUUGGAAUUUGCUAGAAUACUCUAUGUGCUUCACUUAUAUCUUUUGAGCUUGAUAGUUUUGCUCAUAGUGCUUCACUUAUAUCUUUUGAGCGUGAUAAUUUUUGCUCUAGUGCUUCACUCAUAUCUUUUAAAGCACGGUGGUGGAUUUGUUUUAAAGAAACUAUUGAUCUCUCAUGCUUCACUUAGAUUAUUUUGAGAGUUGUUAAUAGCAUGGUAAUUUGCUUAAUGUUAAUAUACUUGGUAUUCAAGAUAUGUGAAACUUUCUUUUGAGUGCGUUGAAUACUAAGAUAAGUUUGAUGCUUGAUAAUUGUUUUGAGAUAUGGAGGUGAUAAUAUCAAACCAAUGCUAGUUGGGGUGACCAUGAAUUUAAAGAAUGCUUGUGUUGAAGUUUGUGAUUCCCGUAGCAUGCACGUAUGGUGAACCGCUUUGUGAUGAAGUCGGAGCACAAUUUUAUUUAUUGAUUGUCUUCCUUAUGAGUGGCAGUCGGGGACGAGCGAUGGUCUUUUCCUACCAAUCUAUCCCCCUAGGAGCAUGCGCGUAGUACUUGAAUUUUUGAUGACUUCUAAAUUUUUGCAAUAAGUAUAUGAGUUCUUUUGAUUAAUGUUGAGUCCAUGGAUUAUACGCACUCUCACCCUUCCACUUUUGCUAGCCUCUCUAAUACUGCGCACUUUUCGCCGGUAUCAUACACCCACCAUAUACCUUCCUCAAAACAGCCACCAUACCUACCUAUCAUGGCAUUUUCGUAGCCAUUCCGAGAUAUAUUGCCAUGCAACUUUCCACCGUUCCAUUCAUAUGACACACAUUACUUUUGUCAUAUUGCUUUUUGCAUGAACAUGUAGUUGACAUAGUAUUUGUGGCAAGGCCACCUUCAUAAUUUUCAUACAUGUUACUCUUGAUUCAUUGCAUAUCCCGGUCUACUGCCGGAGGCAUUCAUAUAGAGUCAUAUCUUGUUCUAAGUAUCGAGUUGUAAUUGUUGAGUUGUAAGAAAAAUAAAAGUGUGAUGAUCAUCAUUAUUGGAGCAUUGUCCCAGUGAGGAAAGGAUGAUGGAGACUAUGAUUCCCCCAUAAGUCGGGAUGAGACUCCGGACUUUAUGAAAAAUAAAAGAGGCCAAAGAAGACCAAAUAAAAAAAAGAGUGGCCAUAAAAAAAAGAGAAAGACCAAAUAAAAAAAUAAAAAAAUGAGAGAAAAAGAGAGAAGGGACAAUGCUACUAUCCUUUUUCCACACUUGUGCUUCAAAGUAGCACCAUGAUCUUCAUGAUAGAGAGUCUCAUAUGUUGUCACUUCCAUAUACUAGUGGGAAUUUUUCAUUAUAGAACUUGGCUUGUAUAUUCCAAUGAUGGGCUUCCUCAAAAGUGCCCUAGGUCUUCGUGAGCAAGCAAGUUGGAUGCACACCCACUUAGUUUCUUUUUGUUGAGCUUUCAUAUACUUAUAGCUCUAGUGCAUCCGUUGCAUGGCAAUCCCUACUCACUCACAUUGAUAUCUAUUAAUGGGCAUCUCCAUAGCCCAUUGAUACGCCUAGUUGAUGUGAGACUAUCUUCUCCUUUUUGUCUUCUCCACAACCACCAUUCUAUUCCAUCUAUAGUGCUAUGUCCAUGGCUCAUGCUCAUGUAUUGCGUGAAAGUUUAAAAAGUUUGAGAUUACUAAAGUAUGAAACAAUUGCUUGGCUCAUCAUCGGGGUUGUGCAUGAUUAAAUACUUUGUGUGAUGAAGAUAGAGCAUAGCCAGACUAUAUGAUUUUGUAGGGAUAACUUUCUUUAACCAUGCUAUUUUGAGAAGACAUGAUUGCUUUAAUUUGUAUGCUUGAAGUAUUAUUACUUUUAUGUCAAUAUGAACUUUUGUCUUGAAUCUUUCGGAUCUGAAUAUUCAUAUCACAAUUAAGAAGAUUUGCAUUGAAAUUAUGCCAAAGUAUCACUCCGCAUCAAAAAUUCUUUUUUAUCAUUUACCUACUCGAGGACGAGCAAGAAUUAAGCUUGGGGAUGCUUGAUACGUCUCCAACGUAUCUAUAAUUUUUGAUUGCUCCAUGCUACUUUAUCUACUGUUUUAGGCAAUAUUGGGCUUUAUUAUCCACUUUUAUAUUAUUUUUGGGACUAACCUAUUAACCGGAGGCCUAGCCCAGAUUUGCUGUUUUAUGCCUAUUUCAGUGUUUCGAGCAAAAGGAAUAUCAGACGGAGUCAAAACGGAACAAAAUCAACUGGAGAAGUUAUUUUUGGAAGGAAAGCAACCCAGGGAACUUGGAGUGCACGUCAGGGGAGAGACGGGCUGUCCACGAGGGUGGGGGACGCGCCCUCCUGGGCGCGCCCCCCUGCCUCGUGGGACCCCCGUAGCUCCACCGACGUACCCCCUGCACCCAUAUAUACCUACGUACCCAAAAACUUCCAGAACAAAACCUAUAUCGGGAGUUCCGCUGCCGCAAGCCUCCAGUACCACGAAAAACCAAUCGGGACCCUAUUUCAACACCCUGCCGGAGGGGGGAUCCUUCACCGGUGGCCAUCUUCAUCAUCCCGGCGCUAUCCAUGACGAGGAGGGAGUAGUUCACCCUCGGGGCAGAGGGUAUGUACCAGUAGCUAUGUGUUUGAUCUCUCUCUCUCGUGUUCUCUCUCGUGUUCCUCUAUGGCACGAUCUUGAUGUAUCCCGAGCUUUGCUAUUGUAGUUGGAUUUUAUGAUGUUUCUCCCCGUCUACUCUCUUGUGAUGAAUUGAGUUUCCCCUUUGAAGUUAUCUUAUCGGAUUGAGUCUUCUAUGAAAACACUUGAUGUAUGUCUUGG